rnacentral:rRNA from 1 species
UAACGCGUGGGUAACCUGCCUCACACUGGGGGAUAACAGUCAGAAAUGACUGCUAAUACCGCAUAAGCGCACAGAGCUGCAUGGCUCGGUGUGAAAAACUCCGGUGGUAUAAGAUGGACCCGCGUUGGAUUAGCUAGUUGGUGAGGUAACGGCCCACCAAGGCGACGAUCCAUAGCCGGCCUGAGAGGGUGAACGGCCACAUUGGGACUGAGACACGGCCCAG